GAUCAAUCUGCAUAUAUAAUAUUUACCUGCAACUUAUUCAUUACAACACAGUUUUACCUGCAUAUCUGGCUGUUGUAUGAUCUUCAUGGCAAACUAUGAAGCUAUGAUUUUAUUUUGUGGGUAAAUAAAUCUAAACUAAAGAUGGGUAAAAGGGUGAUCAUGAGUUUAAAAGGGUAGCAACAUAGAAUAAAGCUAUAACCAAGAAAAAACCAACAAACCACAAGCACCUGCUAAAAUUACUAACAAGGGAAACAAAUAAAAACCUUAAUGGAGAGACUUCUAUAACAGAUACAACACCCAACUUGGGUGAAGAGGCCACCACCCUGAAGUUCGAAACUAAUACACAUGGACCAGUCUUCAUCCAAUGAGGCAAGGCGAGGAUCAGCAAGCCUCAAUGAAAGUCUACCCCUCACUUCCUUGAUGAGGUUAUAGAGAGGAAAGACAUCUAUAGCCGCAUUCGUAAACAUCUUGUUAUAGAGAGGACAUACAUCUCACCUCUGUUCUUCUCCCCCUAGACGCAGCUUAGUAUUGAUUCGCUGCCACUUAAUGGGGUCUCAUCUACUUGGGUAGGAUGAUACAAAGGAAUGGAGUUGUUGACAUCCAUUUGAUCACUUGAUUCAGCAGAGGUUCCUACCACUCUUCUACUUGCAAAACAGUACCCAAUGCAGUUAUGGAUAUCUAUUUGAUCACUCUAGGAUUGCAGUUGAGCAUGAUGGAACCUUGCCAUCUUGGGUAUGCCUUAUAUUCAUACCAUACAGAAGUGUUUCUGGUAAUCAUGAGCAACGUGCUGAAUGAAGGAUCUAACUAUUUUGAGAUGGUUUUUAUAUAAUGACCUUGCCUCUUGAGCAAUGGUUGUUAGCCUUCCUCAAAUUCAAGAGUAAACCUGAGGAGAAUGAAUUUGCUAUAAGCUCCCAAGGAAUGCAAACAUUCCCUUACAAUCUUAGGUCCUUAGAAUUCUUGCCUUGGUUCUUUCUUGCUCGGGAAGAAGCCCGUCAACUUUUGAAUCUUGGGGUGGAAUAGGCAAGCUGUAUUGCCAAUGCAUAAGCGGAGUGAACUGUAAAUUGUAAGAUGGAGACUUUAAUGUACUUCAAUUUCAUUAGAUCAAGCUUAAUCCCAGCUUUGGGGCCUGGGUGGUCAAAUUGUUCUGGUUUUUACUCAGGAGCUCCUUAACUAGGGGAAGAGGAACCCGAAUCCUACUCCUAGAAAAAAGACACAGUCAUGGUAUUGAUUUCCGUAAGUGCAAGUCAUGCUUUUGAACUCCAGAUAGUUGGUGGAAACACUGUGGACAUUGUUUGGGCAUUAAUCGAGUUUUAUGUGUUUCUGCUAUCAAAGCUAAUUGCAGCUCUUUAUAUGAAUUUAAAAA